rnacentral:rRNA from 1 species
GAUGAACGCUGGCGGCGUGCCUAAUACAUGCAAGUCGAACGAAACUUCUUUAUCACCGAGUGCUUGCACUCACCGAUAAAGAGUUGAGUGGCGAACGGGUGAGUAACACGUGGGCAACCUGCCCAAAAGAGGGGGAUAUCACUUGGAAACAGGUGCUAAUACCGCAUAACCAUAGUUACCGCAUGGUAACUAUGUAAAAGGUGGCUAUACUACCGCUUUUGGAUGGGCCCGCGGCGCAUUAGCUAGUUGGUAGGGUAAAGGCUUACCAAGGCAAUGAUGCGUAGCCGAAUUGAGAGGUUGAUCGGCCACAUUGGGACUGAGACACGGCCCAAACUCCUACGGGAGGCAGCAGUAGGGAAUCUUCCACAAUGGGCGAAAGCCUGAUGGAGCAACGCCGCGUGGGUGAAGAAGGUCUUCGGAUCGUAAAACCCUGUUGUUAGAGAAGAAAGUGCGUGAGAGUAACUGUUCACGUUUCGACGGUAUCUAACCAGAAAGCCACGGCUAACUACGUG